rnacentral:misc_RNA from 1 species
GGAUGGAUCAUUACCAAAGAUUUUUCAAAGUCUUGUGAACUGUUUUGACUACACUGUUGGGGUGCUAUAUUUGGACUCACGUCCAGGUUGACCACCUCGACGGUACACAUACACGUAUAUAAACUCAACCUGACGUCUACGCUUUAGUAGUAAAUCAAACUAAAGACAACUUUUAGCAACGGAUCUCUUGGCUCUCGCAACGAUGAAGAACGCAGCGAAAUGCGAUAAGUAAUGUGAAUUGCAUGCACCGUGAAUCAUCAAAUCUUUGAACGCACAUUGCACUGCCUGGAAUUCCGGGCAGUAUACCUGUUUGAGUAUCAGUAACACUCUACCAGGGUGUCCUCUCACGAGACCCUUGGUAGGACUUGAGCGACCGUUCUCGCAAGGGAGCGCCGCUUUAAAUGCAUUUGAGUUGAUCCAGGCCAAAACUUGGAGAAGACCGACAGAGUUAAUGGGUCUCACGACCUUGAUCUGAAGGGAAUCCCCAAGCCAGUCAACCUGUGAUGGCUCACUAAACACACCAUACGGGUGGGCUCUUUAUUGACCCCAGCCCGUGCCCUUGAUCUCAAAUCAGGUAAGAUUACCCGCUGAACUUAAGCAUAUUAAUAAGCGGAGGAAAAGAAACUAACAAGGAUUCCCCUAGUAAUGGCGAAUGAAGCGGGAACAGCUCAAAUUUAAAAUCACCUCGGUGAAUUGUAGUUUAAAGAAGUGCUUUCGCUGGUAGUCCGGGUACAAGUCCCUUGGAAUAGGGUAUCAUAGAGGGUGAGAAUCCCGUCUCUGAUCCGGAUACUACCGCAAUGUGAUGCACUCUCAAAGAGUCGGGUUGUUUGGGAAUGCAGCCCUAAGUAGGUGGUAUAUUUCAUCUAAAGCUAAAUACAGGCGAGAGACCGAUAGCGAACAAGUACCGUGAGGGAAAGAUGAAAAGAACUUUGAAAAGAGAGUUAAACAGUACGUGAAAUUGCUAAAAGGGAAACGCUUGAAAUCAGUGUUGGCGUGAGGAAAUCAGCUGCUUAGCAAUAGGCGGUGCACUUUUCUUACGCCAGGUCAACAUCAGUUUUGGUUUGGGUAAACUAGCGCAGGAAGGUGACUCCCUCGGGAGUGUUAUAGCCUGCGUGAAUGCCUGGACUGGGACUGAGGACUGCAGCGCAUGCCUUUAGGCUGGCAAACCGUGUACUACUUGUGGGCUCCUUGCUGACAGCGUGCUGACUGUAAGGUGAACGCGAGUACUUGCGCGGCUAGUACAAAUGCGCUAAGGAUGUUGACGAAAUGGUUUUAAGCGACCCGUCUUGAAACACGGACCAAGGAGUCUAACACAUAUGCGAGUAUUUGGGUGUCAAGCCCAUAUGCGUAAUGAAAGUAAAGUAGGUGGGAUCCCGCAAGGGUGCACCAUCGACCGGUCUUGACCUUUUGAGAUAGAUCUGAGUAAGAGCACAUGUGUUAGGACCCGAGAGAAGGUGAACUAUGCCUGAAUAGGGCGAAGCCAGAGGAAACUCUGGUGGAGGCUCGUAGCGGUACUGACGUGCAAAUCGUUCGUCAAAUUUGGGUAUAGGGGCGAAAGACUAAUCGAACCUUCUAUUAGCUGGUUCCCUC